GACAGAGGAUGCAAGCGUUAUCCGGAAUGAUUGGGCGUAAAGCGUCUGUAGGUGGCUUUUUAAGUCCGCCGUCAAAUCCCAGGGCUCAACCCUGGACAGGCGGUGGAAACUACCAAGCUGGAGUACGGUAGGGGCAGAGGGAAUUUCCGGUGGAGCGGUGAAAUGCGCAGAUAUCAGGAGGAACACCGAUGGCGAAGGCAGUGGUCUGGGCCGAUACUGACGCUGAGGAGCGAAAGCGUGGGGGAGCGAACAGG
rnacentral:rRNA from 1 species